rnacentral:rRNA from 1 species
ACUCCUACGGGAGGCAGCAGUGGGAAUAUUGCACAAUGGGCGCAAGCCUGAUGCCAGCCAUGCCGCGUGAUGUAGCAAGAAUGGGCCUUCGGUUGAUGAAGCACUUUCAGUUGUGAGGAAAGGUUAGUCGCUAAUAUCGGCUAGCUGUGACGUUAGCAACAGAAGAAGCACCGGCUAACUCCGUGCCAGCAGCCGCGGUAAUACGGAGGGUGCGAGCGUUAAUCGGAAUUACUGGGCGUAAAGCGCGUGUAGGUGGCUUGUUAAGCCAGAUGUGAAAGCCCCGGGCUCAACCUGGGAACUGCAUUUGGAACUGGCAGGCUAGAGUUUUGUAGAGGGUGGUAGAAUUUCAGGUGUAGCGGUGAAAUGCGUAGAGAUCUGAAGGAACACCGGUGGCGAAGGCGACCACCUGGCCAAUAACUGACACUGAGACGCGAAGGCGUGGGUAGCAAACGGGAUUAGAUACCCUGGUAGGCUCUG